rnacentral:rRNA from 1 species
GGGUUGUGAGGUUAAGCGACUAAGCGUACACGGUGGAUGCCCUGGCAGUCAGAGGCGAUGAAGGACGUGCUAAUCUGCGAAAAGCGCCGGCGAGGUGAUAUGAACCCUUGACCCGGCGAUGUCCGAAUGGGGAAACCCAGUGCAAUUCGUUGCACUAUCGUUAACUGAAUACAUAGGUUAACGAGGCGAACCGGGGGAACUGAAACAUCUAAGUACCCCGAGGAAAAGAAAUCAACCGAGAUUCCCCCAGUAGCGGCGAGCGAACGGGGAGCAGCCCGGAGUCUGAAUCAGCUUGUGUGUUAGUGGAACGGUCUGGAAAGUCCGACGGUACAGGGUGAUAGUCCCGUACACGAAAGCACACAUGCUGUGAACUCGAAGAGUAGGGCGGGACACGUGGUAUCCUGUCUGAAUAUGGGGGGACCAUCCUCCAAGGCUAAAUACUCCUGACUGACCGAUAGUGAACCAGUACCGUGAGGGAAAGGCGAAAAGAACCCCGGCGAGGGGAGUGAAAAAGAACCUGAAACCGUGUACGUACAAGCAGUGGGAGCCUCUUUAUGGGGUGACUGCGUACCUUUUGUAUAAUGGGUCAGCGACUUAUAUUCUGUAGCAAGGUUAACCGUAUAGGGGAGCCGAAGGGAAACCGAGUCUUAACUGGGCGUUAAGUUGCAGGGUAUAGACCCGAAACCCGGUGAUCUAGCCAUGGGCAGGUUGAAGGUUGGGUAACACUAACUGGAGGACCGAACCGACUAAUGUUGAAAAAUUAGCGGAUGACCUGUGGCUGGGGGUGAAAGGCCAAUCAAACCGGGAGAUAGCUGGUUCUCCCCGAAAGCUAUUUAGGUAGCGCCUCGUGAACUCAUCUUCGGGGGUAGAGCACUGUUUCGGCUAGGGGGCCAUCCCGGCUUACCAACCCGAUGCAAACUACGAAUACCGAAGAAUGUUAUCACGGGAGACACACGGCGGGUGCUAACGUCCGUCGUGAAGAGGGAAACAACCCAGACCGCCAGCUAAGGUCCCAAAGUCAUGGUUAAGUGGGAAACGAUGUGGGAAGGCACAGACAGCCAGGAUGUUGGCUUAGAAGCAGCCAUCAUUUAAAGAAAGCGUAAUAGCUCACUGGUCGAGUCGGCCUGCGCGGAAGAUGUAACGGGGCUAAACCAUGCACCGAAGCUGCGGCAGCGACACUAUGUGUUGUUGGGUAGGGGAGCGUUCUGUAAGCCGUUGAAGGUGUGCUGUGAGGCAUGCUGGAGGUAUCAGAAGUGCGAAUGCUGACAUAAGUAACGAUAAAGCGGGUGAAAAGCCCGCUCGCCGGAAGACCAAGGGUUCCUGUCCAACGUUAAUCGGGGCAGGGUGAGUCGACCCCUAAGGCGAGGCCGAAAGGCGUAGUCGAUGGGAAACAGGUUAAUAUUCCUGUACUUGGUGUUACUGCGAAGGGGGGACGGAGAAGGCUAUGUCAGCCGGGCGACGGUUGUCCCGGUUUAAGCAUGUAGGCGGAGGUUCCAGGUAAAUCCGGUACCUUAUUAACGCUGAGGUGUGAUGACGAGGCACUACGGUGCUGAAGUGAUAAAUGCCCUGCUUCCAGGAAAAGCCUCUAAGCAUCAGGUAACACGAAAUCGUACCCCAAACCGACACAGGUGGUCAGGUAGAGAAUACCAAGGCGCUUGAGAGAACUCGGGUGAAGGAACUAGGCAAAAUGGUGCCGUAACUUCGGGAGAAGGCACGCUGAUGUGUAGGUGAAGCCCCUGCGGGCGGAGCUGAAAUCAGUCGAAGAUACCAGCUGGCUGCAACUGUUUAUUAAAAACACAGCACUGUGCAAACACGAAAGUGGACGUAUACGGUGUGACGCCUGCCCGGUGCCGGAAGGUUAAUUGAUGGGGUUAGCGGCAACGCGAAGCUCUUGAUCGAAGCCCCGGUAAACGGCGGCCGUAACUAUAACGGUCCUAAGGUAGCGAAAUUCCUUGUCGGGUAAGUUCCGACCUGCACGAAUGGCGUAAUGAUGGCCAGGCUGUCUCCACCCGAGACUCAGUGAAAUUGAACUCGCUGUGAAGAUGCAGUGUACCCGCGGCAAGACGGAAAGACCCCGUGAACCUUUACUAUAGCUUGACACUGAACACUGGUCCUUGAUGUGUAGGAUAGGUGGGAGGCUUUGAAGCGUGGACGCCAGUCUGCGUGGAGCCAACCUUGAAAUACCACCCUUUAAUGGCUGGUGUUCUAACGUAGACCCGUAAUCCGGGUUGCGGACAGUGUCUGGUGGGUAGUUUGACUGGGGCGGUCUCCUCCCAAAGAGUAACGGAGGAGCACGAAGGUUGGCUAAUCCUGGUCGGACAUCAGGAGGUUAGUGCAAUGGCAUAAGCCAGCUUGACUGCGAGCGUGACGGCGCGAGCAGGUGCGAAAGCAGGUCAUAGUGAUCCGGUGGUUCUGAAUGGAAGGGCCAUCGCUCAACGGAUAAAAGGUACUCCGGGGAUAACAGGCUGAUACCGCCCAAGAGUUCAUAUCGACGGCGGUGUUUGGCACCUCGAUGUCGGCUCAUCACAUCCUGGGGCUGAAGUAGGUCCCAAGGGUAUGGCUGUUCGCCAUUUAAAGUGGUACGCGAGCUGGGUUUAGAACGUCGUGAGACAGUUCGGUCCCUAUCUGCCGUGGGCGCUGGAGAAUUGAGGGGGGCUGCUCCUAGUACGAGAGGACCGGAGUGGACGCAUCACUGGUGUUCGGGUUGUCAUGCCAAUGGCACUGCCCGGUAGCUAAAUGCGGAAGAGAUAAGUGCUGAAAGCAUCUAAGCACGAAACUUGCCCCGAGAUGAGUUCUCCCUGAGACCUUGAGUCUCCUGAAGGAACGUUGAAGACGACGACGUUGAUAGGUCGGGUGUGUAAGCGCAGCGAUGCGUUGAGCUAACCGAUACUAAUGAACCGUGAGGCUUAACCUUACAACGCCGAAGGUGUUU